GCCACUAUCAUUUUAGUGACGCUUAUGGAGAUCUUCACAUAAGUCACCUAUCAGAGUCAGCAUUUUACAGGCAUAGUACUACUGUGCUCACUUGUUUCUAUCACUUGCUGAAUUGCUCAGUUCCAUGUACAGCAAAUAAUUUUGCUAUCACUGCUGUCAUUGGUACAUUUAGUGGUUUGGGUGAUCUUUAUUUUGCUUCAAGAUGACCAUAUGAAGAAUCCAUGGAGUACAAAGGCAUGUUUUGCUUAACUUGAAUUCAGAUAGGUAGGUAUCCACUAAAGUUUUUUUUAUGUAUGUUCAUAUGCUUAACAAAAAUUUCUAGGCAAUUUGUGGAACAGUCCCUUAUUAAUGAUGCUCUUGACAAUAGCAACAUGGUUUCUUCCUUUCCAGAAAACAGCAGGGUAGACAUUAUAUAAACAUAAUCUUCCUGUAAAUCUUUUCCUGUGAUUGAACCAGGAUAAUUAGAUCUAGUUUUGCCAAAACCACCAGCAACAUAAUUCUAUGAAACUGUCUGGAGCUGAAGGCUAAUAAUUUCAAAAGUAAAUACAAUAUUUACAUUCAUCAGCCUAAUGGAAACAUAAUAAAGAUGUAGAAAAAAGUAUAGUCUAUUAUAAAAGCUGCU
rnacentral:lncRNA from 1 species